GGAUAGAUGACCGAGUGGUUUAAGGUGUAGUAUUGAAAUUGCUAUGUAGGCUUUUGUUUACCAAGGGUUCGAGUCCCUCUCUUUACG
rnacentral:tRNA from 1 species